rnacentral:rRNA from 1 species
GACGAACGCUGGCGGCGUGCUUAACACAUGCAAGUCGAACGGAAAGGCCCUGCCUUUGUGGGGUGCUCGAGGGGCGAACGGGUGAGUAACACGUGAGUAACCUGCCCUUCACUUUGGGGUAACUUCAGGAAACUUGGGCUAAUACGGCCUAGGAGCUCCCGCUGCUUGGUGGGGGUUGGAAAGUUUAGGCGGUUGGGGAUGGACUGGCGUACUAUCGGCUUGAUGGUGGGGUAGUGGAUUACCAAGGCUUGGACGGGUAGCCGGGCUGCGAGGGUGAGCGGCCAAACUGCGACGGAGAUGCGGCACAGACUCGUCCCGGAGGCAGCAGUGGGGAAGAGUACAUUAUGGGCGGAAGGAUGAUGCAGCAACGCCGCGUGCGGGAUGACGGCCAUGGGGUAGUAAUCCGCAUUCGUCUGUGACGAAGCGUGAGUGACGGUAAUGGGUAAAGAAGCACCGGCUAACUACGUG